CCUACGGGAGGCAGCAGUGAGGAAUAUUGGUCAAUGGACGAGAGUCUGAACCAGCCAAGUAGCGUGAAGGAUGACUGCCCUAUGGGUUGUAAACUUCUUUUAUAUGGGAAUAAAAUGUUCCACGUGUGGGAUUUUGUAUGUACCAUAUGAAUAAGGAUCGGCUAACUCCGUGCCAGCAGCCGCGGUAAUACGGAGGAUCCGAGCGUUAUCCGGAUUUAUUGGGUUUAAAGGGAGCGUAGGUGGAUUGUUAAGUCAGUUGUGAAAGUUUGCGGCUCAACCGUGAAAUUGCAGUUGAAACUGGCAGUCUUGAGUACAGUAGAGGUGGGCGGAAUUCGUGGUGUAGCGGUGAAAUGCUUAGAUAUCACGAAGAACUCCGAUUGCGAAGGCAGUUCACUGGACUGCAACUGACACUGAGGCUCGAAAGUGUGGGUAUCAAACAGGAUUAGAUACCCGAGUAGUC
rnacentral:rRNA from 1 species